UGUGAAAAAGAACAUAAAUAGGACUGGAAUUUGGAUCAGGAAGAGAAGAUUUUGGGAAGAGAGACCAGAGAAGAACAGAGUGUAUUUAUUUGGUGACAGCAAUUAUGAUCCGCCUAUCAAAGAACGCCAUGCAGCGCCUUUGGGCAGUGAUGGCUGCUUUACUUUUGGUGCAAAACAUUCAUCCAGUUACAGUUUCGGCCGCCCUAGUACAGCAGAAAGUUGUUGAUAGUGAGGUGCAGCCAUUGGAAUAUGAAGCAGCCGAUGAAUCCCACCAUAACAUUGAGAAAAGAUCAGUUGUAAAAGCGGGUCUUAAAUUCGUGCUUGACAAUUUUUGGGACGAUUUGCUGUGUCUCGGAGUUCAACUAGCGACCAUGGCGAACUGCAACAGUUUGUCCCUCCAAG